rnacentral:rRNA from 1 species
GAUGAACGCUGGCGGCGUGCUUAACACAUGCAAGUCGAACGAUGAAGCCCAGCUUGCUGGGUGGAUUAGUGGCGAACGGGUGAGUAACACGUGAGUAACCUGCCCUUGACUCUGGGAUAAGCCUGGGAAACUGGGUCUAAUACUGGAUAUGACUUCUCAUCGCAUGGUGGGGGGUGGAAAGAUUUAUUGGUCUUGGAUGGACUCGCGGCCUAUCAGCUUGUUGGUGAGGUAAUGGCUCACCAAGGCGACGACGGGUAGCCGGCCUGAGAGGGUGACCGGCCACAAUGGGACUGAGACACGGACCAGACGCCUACGGGAGGCAGCAGUGGGGAAUAUUGCACAGUGGGCGCACGCCUGAUGCAGAGACGCCGCGUGAGGGAUGACGGCCUUCGGGUUGUAAACCUCUUUCAGUGGGGAAGAAGCGGGAGUGACGGUACCUGCAGAAGAAGCGCCGGCUAACUACGUG